GUUACCAUUAUCCAGGGGUUAAUAUGUUUCCUGUAAGCUGGGGGCUGCUGAUUAAAAGCAUUAUUUUCCCGUCUCGCCCUUUUUGUAACGGCUGUAACGCGGCCCUCCUGGCAGGGAAGGGGUUAACGCAGGGUAGAAUGGGGCUGUAUAAUGUACACGGCACCCCCUUUGUAUUUUUUAAUGAACCGUGAUGAUGAUCCGUGGUUCUCUGUACCCGCCCGGCACACUUGGGGUUAAUUGUAGUCUGGGAGCAGCUGAGAGUGUGAGUAAGAUACAGAGAGGAGUGCGGGGAGAAGGGGGGACAUGGCAGCCAAUAAAUACAAG